GGCGGGGUAGCUCAGCUGGUUAGAGCACAGGAUUCAUAACCCUGAGGUCGGCGGUUCGAGCCCGCCUCCCGCUA
rnacentral:tRNA from 10 species